UCCGACAAGUACAUCUUUUCUAGCAUACCAGGACCUCUUCCGUCCAGCAUAAUAUCCUUGGACCCAGGAUAUUCCCGAAAGUAAUUAAAAAUUGUGAUUCGAUAGGAAGAGUAUGUUUUGGUGAAUGGAUUUAAAGAUAGAUAUGCCUCUUCAAAAUUUGUGUUACCCACCAAUCGACGAAACUCCACCACGUCUGUAAUAGAAUUGUCACGA